UACUUUAUUUUACUGGCCUGCCCUCUUGCACUUGCACGCUGCCUCUCCACUGUCGGGUUGUUGUGGCACUCUGGAGCGGGGGCGCGCCGGGGCGCGUGCACACUGCAAAGCGUCCUUUGCGUUUCCAUGGAGACCGCGGACAGCAACACAGCACGGAGGGAGAGGUGUCCGACUCCAGUUCCAACUUUUAACAUCAGAAUUUCACUUUCAUCGUUUGAACGACGUGUUGUGGGCACUGGCGGAGCUCUGAAUUGGGCCUGCGUUGUCGUUUUGGCAAUUUGGCGGUGGGGAAGGGAUCGCUGUGGUGUGUGUGUCCAGAGUAUCGGCCGGCGCUCCUUGAGGUGCUGAGGAAGACCCACAGCUAUCACAGCAACAACAGCAGUCUGAUAAACAAGUCAGCACUGUUGGAAGAAGCUG